rnacentral:rRNA from 1 species
AUUCGACUAAGCCAUGCGAGUUAAAUGUUCUUCGUGAACAUAGCGAACUGCUCAGUAACACGUGGAUAAUCUACCCUUAGGUGGAGGAUAACCUCGGGAAACUGAGAAUAAUACUCCAUAGGUCUAGAAUGCUGGAAUGCAUCUAGGCUUAAAGUUCAGGCGCCUAAGGAUGAGUCUGCGGACUAUCAGGUAGUAGUCAGGGUAAAGACCUGACUAGCCUACGACGGAUACGGGUUGUGAGAGCAAUUGCCCGGAGACGAUAUCUGAGACACGAUAUCGGGCCCUACGGGGCGCAGCAGGCGCGAAACCUUCACACUGUGCGAGAGCACGAUGAGGGGAUCCCAAGUGCUAGCUCGUAAGAGUUAGCUGUUUCUUUGUCUAAAAAACAGAGAGAGUAAGAGCUGGGUAAGACGGGUGCCAGCCGCCGCGGUAAUACCUGCAGCUCGAGUGGUGGCCGCUAUUAUUGGGCCUAAAACGUUCGUAGCCGGUUUAGUAAAUGCUUGGGUAAAUUGUGUCGCUUAACGAUACGAAUACCGGGUAGACUGCUAAACUUGGGACCGGGAGAGGUUAGAGGUACUCCUGGGGUAGAGGUGAAAUUCUGUAAUCCUGGGGGGACCACCAGUGGCGAAGGCGUCUAACCAGAACGGGUCUGACGGUGAGGGACGAAGCCCUGGGGCGCAAACCGGAUUAGAUACCCGGGUAGUCCAA